ensembl:snRNA U6 U6 spliceosomal RNA
GUGCUUGCUUUGGCAACACGUAUGUUAAAAUUGGAAUGAUAUAGAGAAGAUUAGAAUAGUCCCUGUGCAAAGAUGACACGCAAAUUCAUGAAGCAUUCCAUAAAUUA